rnacentral:rRNA from 1 species
GGAGUUAGCCGGUGCUUCUUCUGUGAGUGAUGUCCUUCCUGCCGGCUAUUAACCCGCAGGCCUUCUUCCUCACUGAAAGUGCUUUACAACCCGAAGGCCUUCUUCACACACGCGGCAUGGCUGGAUCAGGGUUGCCCCCAUUGUCCAAUAUUCCCCACUGCUGCCUCCCGUAGGAGUCUGGGCCGUGUCUCAGUCCCAGUGUGGCUGAUCAUCCUCUCAGACCAGCUACGGAUCGUCGCCUUGGUGAGCCGUUACCUCACCAACCAGCUAAUCCGACAUAGGCUCAUCCGAUAGCGCGAGGCCCGAAGGUCCCCCGCUUUCCCCCGUAGGGCGUAUGCGGUAUUAGCCUGGGUUUCCCCAGGUUAUCCCCCACUACCGGGCAGAUUCCUAUGCAUUACUCACCCGUCCGCCGCUCGCCACCAGGGAGCAAGCUCCCCGUGCUGCCGCUCGACUUGCAUGUGUUAGUCUCGCCGCCACGCGUCAUCUGAGCGAGAUACAACUACUCGA